rnacentral:lncRNA from 1 species
GUUAUUGAUGUGAAUAUGAUUUGGAUGUUUAUUAUAUGAUAACUGAUGAAGUAUUGAUAUUCUGGAUGAAAAGAGGAAAUAAAUCCCGGUUGAAUGAAAGGAAAAUUCGAUGGAUCUCUGAAAAGGAAUUGACGGUAAAAAGGAUCUAGCCCGGACGGGUGAUCCUAUCCUGAUAUAGCCCUCCCGAAGAAUAUGUGGAAAAUGGAUUUAGCCCGGACGGGUAAUCCGAAUUAGGGUCUGAAUUUAGCCUGGACUGGUAAUUCAGAUCCAAGCUCAUUAGAGUAAUUGUCGUUGCAGGGGAUUUAGCCUGGACUGGUAAUCCCGACAAUACUCUAUGAGUUUAUAUUAGAGGGGAUUUAGCCUAGACUGGUAAUCCCGCUGUAAGGAUGAGGUUCGCGGGAGUGUGCUCUCUGAAAUGGAAAUGUGCACACAUGAAUAUGAAUUGACGGACCCGGAUUUGUACACUUAGGUGUACCCUUGAAUAUCCAUCGAAAUUCCAAGUAGUUCAACGGGAUAAAUAUGGAAAAAUAACAAGGAAAUGGAAAUCAUGGAAUUGAUGAGCUCAUCAAUCAUUUAUCUUUGUAAUGAAUUUGUAUGAGGUUGAGUUUGUAUGUGAUAGGUAUAUGUUUAUGUGAAUUGGAUGUGUGCUUGUGUUAUUAAAUGAUGGAUGUAUAAGUAUGGUAAGUAUAAUUCCUGUUGCAU